UCACAGGAAUCUCAUACUUGUUGGAAAAAUCCUCAAUAGGGCCACUAGAGCAGUUCACUGAACAACAACAAAAAAGCAUAAUUAAUCCUCUGACAGCUGAGCAGCUGAGACCAGACAAGCAAAGCUGAAUUUCAAAUGACAAUGUGUUAAGUAAUUAAAGGAGAAUGUCCCAGAAGACAGGAGUGAUGCGUUUUACGUUUUGGAAUCCAGAAAAUUACC
rnacentral:lncRNA from 1 species